rnacentral:rRNA from 1 species
GACGGAGGAUGCAAGCGUUAUCCGGAAUGAUUGGGCGUAAAGCGUCCGCAGGUGGCAGUUCAAGUCUGCUGUCAAAGACCGGGGCUUAACUUCGGAAAGGCAGUGGAAACUGAACAGCUAGAGUAUGGUAGGGGCAGAGGGAAUUCCUGGUGUAGCGGUGAAAUGCGUAGAGAUCAGGAAGAACAUCGGUGGCGAAGGCGCUCUGCUGGACCAUAACUGACACUCAGGGACGAAAGCGUGGGGAUCAAACAGG